AUACGUAGGUGGCGAGCGUUGUCCGGAAUUACUGGGCGUAAAGGGCGUGUAGGCGGGGAGGCAAGUCAGAUGUGAAAUCCCGAGGCUUAACUUCGGAGCUGCAUCUGAAACUGUUUCUCUUGAGUACUGGAGAGGAAAGUGGAAUUCCCAGUGUAGCGGUGAAAUGCGUAGAGAUUGGGAGGAACACCAGUGGCGAAGGCGGCUUUCUGGACAGUAACUGACGCUGAGGCGCGAAAGCGUGGGGAGCAAACAGGAUUAGAUACCCUGGUAGUCCACGCCGUAAACGAUGGAUACUAGGUGUAGGAGGUAUCGACCCCUUCUGUGCCGGAGUUAACACAAUAAGUAUCCCGCCUGGGGAGUACGGCCGCAAGGUUGAA
rnacentral:rRNA from 1 species